GAUGAACGCUGGCGGCGUGCCUAAUACACGCAAGUCGAGCGAACAGACGAGGAGCUUGCUCCUCUGACGUUAGCGGCGGACGGGUGAGUAACACGUGGAUAACCUACCUAUAAGACUGGGAUAACUUCGGGAAACCGGAGCUAAUACCGGAUAACAUGUUGAACCGCAUGGUUCAACAGUGAAAGACGGUCUUGCUGUCACUUAUAGAUGGAUCCGCGCCGCAUUAGCUAGUUGGUAAGGUAACGGCUUACCAAGGCAACGAUGCGUAGCCGACCUGAGAGGGUGAUCGGCCACACUGGAACUGAGACACGGUCCAGACUCCGACGGGAGGCAGCAGUAGGGAAUCUUCCGCAAUGGGCGAAAUCCUGACGGAGCAACGCCGCGUGAGUGAAGAAGGUCUUCGGAUCGUAAAACUCUGUUAGUAUGGAAGAACAAAUGUGUAAGUAACUAUGCACGUCUUGACGGUACCUAAUCAGAAAGCCACGGCUAACUACGUG
rnacentral:rRNA from 1 species